UAGCAGUCAGUUCUGGGCCGACUCUGGCUGUCUUCCGCCAGUGUCGGCUGACUCACGUACAGAUUAUCAGUGUAUAUGCCAGACUUGGUCCAGAAGUGGACGUAGCAUUACAAUAUGUUGGUAGUAAAGCUAUUACUGGGCCAAAUGUUGUUACAUAGGUCAUGGCCCAAUACUAUGCCGUUAGUUGUUGGCCCACAACACCGACUGAAUGCAACCGUCUGUGAAGUAUACAUGUCGUUGCUGGGCCAGAACCGAUAACACUAACAUCAACCAGCAUUUAUUUAUGCCAGGUGCAACAGGGAAGGUUACAUUGUUUUUAACUACAGCCUGUCCCGAACUGACGCACUCGUGUCUACAUUUCACAAAAUGCAAUUGUCUUGUCCAACCAACUGCCAGUUAAAUACACAUUAUAAAAUAGCACAUCUACCUAGUUUUUAUUCCAUUAGUUUUUAUUUAGUCAAUCACAGUCGUAAAAGAAAGUAAAGCUGAUCGUGUGAAAUCCCGGGGGAACACCAGCGGGAGACCCUGAUGAAUAUACCAAGCGCUCCUCAAAACCUCGACGCGGUUGGGAAACAACGGUCUGCCUUCAAGUGCGCAGUGAAUUUCAUCGGCGUCAGUCCACUAUCGGUAAGUACAAACAUAUUUGUUAAAAAUAUAUAUUUGAGUCCCCACAAUCAAAAGGUUGUCUGUUAGUAGUGCGCGCUGUGUUUAACAGUUUCGAUACCUAUUCUUUCUCAGCUGAAUUUCUAUUAGCGGCAGCUAUACUCUUGCUAGCUAACGUUAGUUCAGUCAGGUUUCCACUGAGUCAGAGUUUCAGUUUUUCUCAUUGAAUUAUAAAUAUAAAGGGGGGCUGUACGUUUUUCAUAGAGGAAAGCUCUCAUUUUAAAAGCUGAUAUUCAUAUCUUUUUAACGUCAAACUCCCUCCCUCAUUAAAACCUGCUGUGUCAUGCCACAAUGUGAUCGUCUGCCAGGAACUGACUGUCGUUUGAGACACCGGUUAGCUCACGAUUAUUUAGUUUUCCAUCGAUAAAAUUCAAUACUUUUGAAUCAGAAAUGGAGGUUAAGGUGUAAGUAAGCGGAGGGCUACUUGGAUUUGGCAUGACUUAUAUUUUCAAAUGCAAACUUUACAUGACAAUCGCUUUAUUUUCUUUGUUGAGGACAUUGACAAAAUCUGGCGGGAAACGUGUGUAAUCCUGCAGUAAGGGUGCGGCCCACAUCGAUAUACCGACAACGGCCCAGUAGUAGGUAACGCGGUGUGGGCCGCCUGUUGAGGAAAGGUGUUCAGGUAUUAUUGUGAUGAUAUAAUUUUAUAAAAAAUGUAAACAUCUGGUUUUACGCAUCGACGCAGGCCCCGCCCCCAAAGGGUUAAGCGAGGCCUUUCACUAAGCAAAAAUAAGUAAGAAAGGUAAUAAGAAUCCAAACUGUGGUUAAAAUGUUUUGUAUUCUGUCAGCAAUGCAUUUAACUCUAAUUAACUCUUGUUUGUCUCUGUCCUCUUUACAUAAGCUGUCCAGUUCCCUCAGAAACCAGGACAUUCAUUCAGCAGAAGGCCACAAGACAGUUCACCAAGUGGGAGCUGCAGCGGGACGCCUGCAGGAGUUGACUAUUCUGAUCAUCCAGGGCCUCAGCCAGUGCCUGUGCCAUCCUGGAGUCCUCAGGCCCCAUUUGAAACUACAACCUGUAAAUGCAUUAAUGCGGGAAAUGCUUGACUAAACAGGAGAUGAUUCUCGAGCAACAAACACGCAUCCUACAGAUUCUACAUGCAAGAAAACAAGAUGCGUCUCAAUUUGAAAUAGAUGAGGGUCUCCUGCCAGUAAGGGGCCAGCAAGGCCUCCAACGUCUUGAAAGCCAACUUCAGGAAUCUGACUUUCGAUCAAAACUGAUAAACCAUCUCAGCCUGAUUGGCGGAAGUGAUGUCAAGGAUACGGUUUGGCGUCUCAUGAAGACAACAAUCUCAAACACCCUGGCAAAGGAAACCAAUUGGAGAGGAGUAAAUGGGACGGCUGAAGACGGCUGUAAUCGCUGCCGUACGGAAGAACCCACUGACAUCGAGGGCUUCUGAACGUGAGGUGGAGAUGUUCAUGAAGAGGUGGAGAUGUUCAUGAAGAGGUGGCUACAGCUGGCAGCGGACAGAGAAGGGGGCAGAAGAAGGCGAGCCCAAAUACCUUCAGCUCCCUGAACUUGUUGAUUAUUGUUAUAUUGAUACUUGUUAUAUUGAUUGUUAAGCUCUUCAAUACAUUGUUUUAAAAAUAAGUUUAGCUCCAUGAACUUGUUGGUUAUUGUUAUAUUGAUACUUGUUAUCUUGAUUGUUGCUCUAUUUCAAUACAUUGAUUUACAAAUACUGUACAAUUUUAAUUAAAGUUGAGUUAAACUUU